AUGCGUCCGUGCUCAGGGGACCCCAGAGCUCUGGGGCCCGGAGGCUGGCCUGAAGCCCGUCGCUCACAUCCACGCGGAGUGGCCCUUGCCGCUGGUUUGGCCACUACUGUUGCAAUAAAGCUCAAAUGUCAGCUGGUCCCUCCAAGACUGCCCGUGAGUCAGAACUCUGCAGCGCAGUCGAUGACUUGUGUGACGCGGUGGGAGGCAGAAAUUUCGAAUCGUGCCACCGUCAGCGUCUGCACAAAGGAGCCUCUUCCUUUGUGUGGUCUUGCCCCCGCCGGGCCUCUCUCGCAUGAUGCUUGGGGAGAGGGGUUUGCUUCAGAGCUCGAGCAUUCUUACCUCACUCAGAGAGGCAUUUUUCCUCUGUCCAAGUCUCCAAAACAAUCCAGCGACUUGUCGUGGCUGGUGACCUUCUGCUGCAGUAAUUCCCUCCUUUGGGCAUUGAAAUUGAUUUUCUUCCUCGUGGCGUGUAAAGAUUCAAAGCGUGCCCCUUGCUCCCUGUCCCAGGGGGCUUCCUCCAUCAGCGGCGGAGUCGGGGACCAGGCAAGUGCUGGCCACCAGUGUGCGGGGCGGGGUGGGGGGGCUCCGCGGAGCAUCUGCCCGGCCCCUGAGCCACGUCUAUGCAGCCCGGGAUGUGGGAGCCGGCACGAGAUCUGCUGGGUCAGAGCGGGCUGGCUUGGCCACAGCUCUCUUGCCAAACUGGAUUUGUCUUUUAAGGAUUUUAUUUGUUUAUUCACGAGAGACACACAGAGAGAGAGAGAAGGCAGAGACCCAGGCAGAGGGAGAAGCAGGCUCCCUGCGGCGAGCACGACGCAGGACUUGAUCCCAGGACCCCAGGGUCAUGUCCUGGGCCAAAGGCAGAUGCUCAACCCUUGUGCUGCCCAGGUGCACCCCUCCCCCCCAAACUGGAUUUUAAUAAAGAAGAACAAGUGGCCCUUUAUCUUUCAGCCUUGGAAAUUCUGUAUUUGCGGGGCCCCCAGAGAACUCCCCGUGGCUUCUCACCCCGGGGGGAGGGUGGUGACUGGCACGCACUGGGCCCAGUGGGAUCGCUCACUAGGCCCCGUGCCCCCCACCCCAGCAUCUCGGCUAGGACGCCUCCCAAAGCCGAUCUUCACCCUCCCGGCCCCCAGCCCCGCCCCAACCUUCGGGCCUGGCCCUGCCCACAGCCCGCUCUCCCCAUGUGCCCCCUCUCUCUCCUUUCCUGGUGACCAGGCCAUCCCCUUUCUCAGGGGUGCAGGGCAGAUCCCAGGUGUUGGGGGGCAGGACAGAAGUUAUGUAGAGGUGCUGGGUUCGUGUGGCACCUCAGUCCCUGGGCUUUUCCAGAAGAUACCAAGAGGGCAGCCCCAGCCAUUCUAUCGCCCCCAUCUGUGCCGCUCCCCACCUUUGCCCUCUCCGCUGCCACGGUGA
rnacentral:lncRNA from 1 species